ACGGGUGAGUAAUAUGUAGGAAAUCUGCCUUAGAGAGGGGGACAACAGAGGGAAACUUCUGCUAAUACCCCAUAUGAGCUACCUUGAAAUAGGUAUCUUGAAAACUCCGGUGCUCUAAGAUGAGCCUGCAUCUGAUUAGCUUGUUGGUGGGGUAAUGGCCUACCAAGGCGACGAUCAGUAGCUGGUUUGAGAGGAUGAUCAGCCACAAUGGGACUGAGACACGGCCCAUACUCCUACGGGAGGCAGCAGUAGGGCAUUUUGCGCAAUGGGCGAAAGCCUGACGCAGCAACACCGCGUGAAUGAUUAAGCCCUUCGGGGUGUAAAGUUCUGUCAGUGGGGACGAAACUUGACGGUACCCACAGAGGAAGCACCGGCUAACUCCGUGCCAGCAGCCGCGGUAAUACGGAGGGUGCAAGCGUUGUCCGGAAUCAUUGGGCGUAAAGAGUUCGUAGGUGGUAUGUUAAGUCUGGUGUUAAAGGCAGAAGCUCAACUUCUGUAAGGCACUGGAUACUGGCAAACUUGAAUGUGGUAGAGGUAAAGGGAAUUCCUGGU
rnacentral:rRNA from 1 species